UAAGUAAGUGGUGGAAGAAAAAAUAAACAUGAUUCUUUUAGUAAUGGCGAAUGAACAAAGACAUGGUCAUUUUGAAAAUUGUGGUCUUAGAUCAUGAAUUGUAUUUUCAAAAUGCAUUGCUAACACAACUGCACAUGUUUGUUUAUUGGAAAGAACAUCACAAAGGGUGACAAUCCCAUGUGUCAUGUGUAUGUUUUGUGUACAGCGUGCAUUAUAUGAAUCACAUUCAUUGACAAUUGAAUGCAAAUAGAAUGGUAAAUUUCAUUUAAUCAUAAAUAUGUUGUUGACAACUUAUAGCAAACAAAUACCAUGAGGGAAAUGUGAAAAGGAUUUUGAAAAGAAAAUUAAAAGAGCUUGCAAUUGCUGAACUGAUAAGCAAACAAAACAUACGUGUGUAUGCAAGAUUGUUGUAAUGCUUAGCAUCUUAUGCAAGGCUAUUGCAAUGAUUUUUUGUAUAGUGAUGCUACCUUUCUUUAGAAUUUGGAAUGUCUUUUUUUGAGUGUGAAUGGAAUUUUGUUUGUUAGCAAAGGAAUGCACUUUUAGAUUCAUUGUUUGAUUUGAUUUAAAAAUGUUUGUGACACAUGUCUUUGUUUUAGUUUCAUGCUUCAACCAAGGACAUUGUGUUUGAUCCAUGUCAGCAAUACAUGUUUUGUUUGACCCGUCUUGAAACACGGACCAAGGAGUUUAAUUUAUGUGCAAGAUCAUGAAACUGACAUUUGUAUAUCAAUGAAAAUAUUUUGUUGGGAUUUGUGCACCAACAACUGAUAAGUUGUGUGACGCGACGUUGAGUUUGAGCAUGUUGAUUAAAACCCGAAAGAUGGUGAACUAUGCCUGAACAGAAUGAAGUCAGAG
rnacentral:rRNA from 1 species